rnacentral:rRNA from 1 species
UAGGGAAUCUUCGGCAAUGGACGAAAGUCUGACCGAGCAACGCCGCGUGAGUGAAGAAGGUUUUCGGAUCGUAAAACUCUGUUGUUAGAGAAGAACAAGGAUGAGAAGAGAAUGUUCAUCCCUUGACGGUAUCUAACCAGAAAGCCACGGCUAACUACGUGCCAGCAGCCGCGGUAAUACGUAGGUGGCAAGCGUUGUCCGGAUUUAUUGGGCGUAAAAGCGAGCGCAGGCGGUUCUUUAAGUCUGAUGUG